rnacentral:ncRNA from 1 species
UAUUUGUGCUAGGGGUGCCUUUAGGCUGAGAGAUGAAUUUUCAUUAACCCUCAUAUACCUGAUCUGGAUAAUACCAGCGUAGGAAAGCGAUAAGUCAUUUAG